rnacentral:misc_RNA from 1 species
UAGUAGUUGCGUUAAGGAUAGUAGUAUAAAUCCCGCAGUAAAUUGUAGCGUAAGCGAAAAAUUUAUGAGGAAUUGCAACGAAUAGCCUGACCCGCA